GCUUUUAGUGUAUGUCAAAUCCACACUUAAUAUCUGCAUGCCAGAAUUGCAUACAUUAACUUUUCUUUUUCAUUAAUUAUCUGCAAUUAUCAGUCACCUUUUAGUUUCAGUUGAAAAAAACUUGACCGAUAGCCUCCUGGUAGGCUCAGAGAUGUGGUUCUCCCAUGUAUGGCAGGGAAAGUAAGUUUAUGUCAUUAAUGAAACUGUCUCAUCAAUCUUUUCCAAGACGACAACACCCCCUUCAUCUCCAUCACACAGAUGGCAGCACUCGCACAAACUUAAUCAAGAUUUGCGGGGUGACUUGGAAACCCGAACGCACAAGCAAGACCUUGCUCCGCAGCAGAUCCAGAGAUCAAACAGAAGCAACACUAAUGCUCAAGAUGCUGUAGACCACCACGCGGCAGAUAUUCAGGCUCUGCAGCAUGAACUAACAUUUUUGAUGGCUCAAAUCUUGGCGAGUGAACAGGCUAUGACUCGAAUGCACAAUGCGUUAGAACAGGAGCAUUCAAAGGAACAAAAAGUAGAAUAUAGACAAAGUGAAGCCACCACAUGUGUCCAGCUAAAGGACAGUGAGGACAGACGACGUGAAUUAGAGGCCUGCCUAUUGGAGAGGAACCAGGCCCAUAGGCACAUGAGAGAGGUACAAAGGUCGGAGGAGAGACUUCAAGACGUAACUGCUAGACCUUGUGCUACUGAAGAGAGCCAGGCUGUGAAGGAAGAGUGCCUGAGUAAGGAGCAGCACAGCGUGCAAGGAAGUCAUGAUGGGCAAAGACAGAGUCUCUGUGGAAGAUUAUCUCAGGCGGACAUGGUAGAAAAAGAGCUAGAGAACAGUGUGCUGAAAGCUGGGCAUCAGGUAAGAGCUUUGCUCAGAACUGGGCAGAACUCACAAGGGAACGAAUACAGGGAGAAAAUGUUGAAGUUAGAAAAGGAACUGACCCAGAAAAUAGACAUGGUUGAAACACUGAGAAAGAGUAUGCAUAGGGUAGAAGAGAAAUGCCAUCUCACUUCCUGCUGUCAGGAGCUUCUCAACCCGACUGCAGACACAGACUGUGAGGUGAAUGAAUUCUGCAAAUAUCCGGAAAAUGAAGAAGCUGAAUACGACACACUGCAGCACUCAUGUGAGAGAGCUACCCUGGAGUUCCAAAAAAUGAGCCACUUCCUUGGAGAAAAAGAAGAAGAGAUCCGACAGACUAAAGAUCUAUACGAGAGGCUGGUGAAACACAGGGAAAGGGACUUAAAAGAGGCACUUAUUAAAAUGACGGUUCUUAGCAACAGCUUGGAGCAAACAGAACAGAAGUUGCAAGCGAAGGAGGAGCUUCUCUGUCAACUGAGUCAACGUCUCGCAGAAAAGAUUGAGCCCUGUAGUGGUGACAAGAAUCUGCAAUCCAUGCUUGUGGUUGCCGAGGACCAUAAUGCAGAGCUAGAGCAGCAUCUCAAUGCCCUGCAGUUGGGCUGUGCUGAUCGUCACAUGGAAAGACAGCAAACUCCACAACAGAGCAAGAGGGGAAGACUUAAUACGUCACCCUCCUCAUCACCGAACACAGAGCGUACACCCAAGACAGAGGAACCCCCAGAUGAUAAGGAGUCAAAUAAAUGUUUUUCCAGAAUUCAGUGUAAAAAAAUCAUCAACUUAGAGGGCGUGGUCAGAGGCCAUGUGUGCAGUGCUUUGACUGCACGCAAUAUCUCUUCUGAUAUGCCACGUACUAAUGACCCGGAGAAGUUUAUCUCCAUUACACAUCAUUUAGAGGAGCAGCGAUCUUCCCAGAUAGAUGACAUGACAAAGACUGAUCUCAGGAUGACAAAAGAAAAUAACCAUUACUUAGGAAAAGAGUUUUGUUGUGGUAGUACGACACAAAGUAGUGCUGCCAAUAACCACUAUAUGAAUGCUUUGGCGUGUGUGGAAAACAGUCAGAGCAAAGUCAGAGCUUUUCUCCUUGGCUCUCAUGACGCCGCUGUUUCACAGCUACGUUCACUGUCAGGUAUAGAAAAGGAUUUGUUCAAAGCAUCGCUGCACAUCCAACGAGGACAAAUGAUGCAAGAGCAUACAGCAGGUGUCCAAAAUCAAACUUCAGAGGUUCCAGAGAGUGCCCUCUGGAAGGAAACGGAGAUAUUUGAAACAGAUGACGCUAAAUCCAAAAACAGAAGUGUAAAUGCUGAUGCCACUAUCUUUAACACUUUAACGAAAGCAGAGCUUGUCUACUCAAAAAUUCAAAAUCUUGAACUUUGCUUAGAGUUAAGUGAAGCUUUUAGUAACUUAUAUCAAAGGGAAAUGGCUCUGAGAGCAAUUAUUCAAGCUUCCAAAAGCCCUGAUUUGAAAAAUGUAAGGAAGGAAGUCGAAAAUAGGUUUUUCUCUAGUAAACAAAAGUUAGCUGACAUUCAUGCCCCUGACGUUGCUCCUUACAUGGAGCAGAUUAAAAUGGAUGCAGCUCGAGACUUGGCUGAGAACACUGUAGGCAGACACUUGGCUGUACGAAUUGUCCCUUUUGGUGAUGACUCCAUUGAGCUACUCCAAAAUGCGCAUGAUGACCUUGCUAAAGAGCUUCAGAGGCAAGCAGCAAUCCUCCAUAAAUAUGCCCAAGAGAUAGAAAGUGGUGUAAACCAUCCUGGACAGGUUAAAAUGACCCCUGGUCUUUUCAGGCACCACAAUUCACAUCAUCAUUUAAGCAGCUCUCUGUGUUUGCGUGAAGCUCGUACCCACGCUCAGGUGGCCUGUGCUGCAUGCAGGUUACAGGCCACACAUGAACAAGAGUUGGGUCAGUCAAGUCAGAACAUGGAUGCUGUUGUUCAGCAGCAGGCUCACAAUCUUAGUGCAAUUCAAGAGAAGUAUGAAGCCAUUUUACAGGAGGGGCGUCUGAGGUUCUCACAGACAGUGACCACUCUACAAAUGGAGAUUCAAACACUUAAGAGUGAGAUCUGCAAACGUGUGAACCGGCUCUACCAGCAGCAGGAGCAUCUGGCCCUCCUGGAGGAGCAUAACAAGGAGCACCCUGAAGAGUUGAAGCAGCUUCACCAAGCUUUGACAACACUGGAUAUCAUGGAUAUAGUUGCUGAUGGCCAACGAAAGUUGGAGGUUCUGCUGAUAGACGUAGAUACUGUGAAGAAGCGACACAAGCAUCAUGUGAAGAAACUGGAGGAGCACUUUGAGCAAUGGAUCUGUGAGCUUCAGCACAAUCAUAGAAAAGAGAUAGAAAAGUUACUGUCUCAGUUUGUGGAAACCAUUCCGUGCAGUAAAGAGGUCCUACAGGACAACAAAGGUGUUAUACCAAUGGAGGAUGCGCAACAUGUGUCCAAGAUGGACUCAAUAGGGUUUCUGAAGGAACGGAUCCAGGACCUGGAGACAGAGAUGAACUUCAUGCGGCUCGAAAUGGAGAACAACCACCUCGAUGGAGACGUGUCCAGCCUGAGAGAGAAAGACCAGAGAGACUUUGACAGUCUUAAGUCCACAUGUGAACGUGGGUUUGCUACAAUGGAAGAAACACACCAGAGAGUGAUAGAAGACCUGCAGAGGCACCAUCAGAGAGAGAUUUCCAAACUGAUGGAGGAGCGAGAAAGACUGCUGGCUGAGGAAACUGCUGCAACAAUUGCUGCUAUUGAAGCUAUGAAAAAUGCACAAAAGGAGAAAAUGGAGAAGUCCCAGCGCUCCCACCUGAGUGGACUGAACUCUGACAUCGAUGAGCUUCACUUACAAUAUGAAGAGGAGCUACAGUCCAUCCAGAGAGAACUGGACGUGUUGUCAGAGCAGUAUUCUCAGAAAUGUCUGGAGAAUGCUCACCUUGCUCAGGCACUGGAGGCUGAAAGGCAGGCCCUCAGGCAGUGUCAGAGAUAUAACCAGGAACUGAAUGCUGACCAUCAGCAGGAAUUAAACAAUCAGCUGACUGCAGAGAUCACGCAGAAGCGUUCACGUGUCACUGGGGAAACAUCGUUGUCCUCACUUACCCAGGGCAAAGAUGUGUAUGAACUAGAGGUGUUGCUGCGCAUUAAGGAGUCAGAGAUCCAGUAUCUGAAACAGGAAAUCCACUCUUUGAAAGAUGAAUUGCAGUCUGCUUUAAGGGACAAGAAAUAUGCCACAGACAAAUAUAAGGACAUUUACACAGAGCUCAGCAUCGUGAAAGCAAAAGCUGACUUUGACAUCAGCAAACUGAAGAAGAAGUUACUGACAGCCACAGAAGCUUUAGGUGGAAGGAGUGUCGAUGAAGCCAUGACAUCUGGAUAUGACAUCAUGAAGUCAAAAAGUAAUCCAGAUUUUAUUAAAAAAGAUAAAGCAGCAACCUCCAAACAAUUGAGAAGAAUAAGGUCAAAGACUGUCACUGCACAGGUCUCAUGGGACAGCUGACACUCCAGUUGUGGGGUGAACGCCUUAACCCCUGCACCAAGAUGCGCUGUAGAGCCUGAAGGAGGGACUAACUCUGCAGGAGUGCAUGAAGCAAUGCUUCUUUAUGUCACUCAUGUGUGACUUCCUGGUGGUUGGUACAAUCAAGCAGUAUUUGCUCGUGAAGAAACAGUUAGAGUGUUCAGUUCUGAUCACGGGCUUGCUGCUUCCAUCAUGUUUCAUUACAUCUCUUUUAAAUACAUAGUAUUAUUUUUAUAUUGGUUUUUUUUUUUCAACCUGGAAAUGUGUCAGAUAAGCUGUGACACGGAUAAUGAAUAAUAUAUAUAUCCCAGUAUGAAUGGUAUACAUUUUCCAUAUCUGUUAGUUUGGUACGUGUUAAACGUUGCAUCUGCUGUACUAUGGUACCAGCGAUAGUGUGAGUGGAAGCUUCCUUAUCUGUGCGAGUUAAAACAUGUCUGUGUCUUUUUUAAACUCAGCCUGGUGUAGUGACAGUGAGUUCAUCGUCGCCGUGCAGCCAACCAUCUAAACGUCUAGAAACUACACACACUGUGAUGUUUCUACGGCUUCCUCCCGCAGUCCUUCAACAUGCCAUAUGGGGACUAGGUCAAUUGGACACUCUAAAUUGGACCAUAGGUGAGAGAGUGAAUGGUUGUUUGUAUGUGUCCCUGUGAUGGACUGGUGACCUGUCCAGGGUAUGACCCCACCUGUCGCCCUCUGUCAGCUCAUUGGAGGAUAAAGCGGUAGAAGAUGGAUGUUUAUGUGUGUAACUCCCACUGAUUAGGUGUUACAGAUUGUAAAUGUUGAAGCUUGGCCCACUUCCUCACCUAUCACUAAAAUCUAGUCCUCAAUUGAGUCAUGCCUUGUGUGUGUGUUGUUUUUUAACCUGUUCGUUACUUAAAAGUUAUGUAUGAAAAAUAUAUAUAUAUGAUUUUUCUUUGAGAUUUUUAUUGCAAUGUAUAUUAAAUUAAUGAAGUGUAAAUGUUCAA